UGCAGACUAAUAUGCAGCAUUUGACUAGGCGAAAAUAACUUGUAGUUCAGUCAAUCGUGGAUGAGACUCGACGGAGAAAAAGUUCUGUUUGGCAAUAAUAAUAGUAGUUGGUUCAAUAAAUUAUAUCAAUCUACAAUUAUAACAAAA